rnacentral:rRNA from 1 species
CCCUUAGAUGUUCUGGGCCGCACGCGCGCUACACUGAGUGGAUCAGCGGGUCAGGUUGCGCGAAAGUGUUUCCUAAUCUUGAAAUCCGCUCGUGAUGGGGAUUGACGGUUGCAAUUUUCCGUCAUGAACGAGGAAUACCUUGUAAGCGCGGGUCAUCAUCCCGCGCUGAAUACGUCCCUGCCCUUUGUACACACCGCCCGUCGCUCCUACCGAUUGAGUGGUCCGGUGAGGCUUUGGGAUCUGAGCAAAGAGAGCGUUUCGCUCGUUUUGCCCGGAAAACUCAGUCGAACCUUAUCAUUUAGAGGAAGGAGAAGUCGUAACA